rnacentral:rRNA from 1 species
UACGUAGGGGGCAAGCGUUGUCCGGAAUUAUUGGGCGUAAAGAGCGUGUAGGCGGUCCGGUAAGUCGGCUGUGAAAGUCCAGGGCUUAACCCUGGGAUGCCGGUCGAUACUGCCGGACUAGAGUUCGGAAGAGGCGAGUGGAAUUCCCGGUGUAGCGGUGAAAUGCGCAGAUAUCGGGAGGAACACCUAUGGCGAAGGCAGCUCGCUGGGACGUUACUGACGCUGAGACGCGAAAGCGUGGGGAGCGAACAGG